rnacentral:rRNA from 1 species
UACGUAGGUGGCAAGCGUUGUCCGGAAUUACUGGGUGUAAAGGGCGUGCAGCCGGGAGUGCAAGUCAGAUGUGAAAUGUAUGGGCUCAACCCAUAAACUGCAUAUGAAACUGUACUUCUUGAGUACCGGAGGGGCAAUCGGAAUUCCUAGUGUAGCGGUGAAAUGCGUAGAUAUAGGAGGAACACCAGUGGCGAAGGCGGAUUGCUGGACGGCAACUGACGGUGAGGCGCGAAAGUGUGGGGAGCAAACA